CAGCACUGUAAGUAGAUAAGUAGAAAAAUUCAAAACCAAGGUCCCUUUCAUUGAGAAAUUAACAUAUUUACACUCCACAAUAUUUUCCUGUGGCAAUACCAAUGCAAAAGAAAAUCUGCAUAAAAUUAUAUUAUGAUCACUGUAAAAUUAUAUACUUCAGCUGUUGAGAAUAGACAAAUGAAGUUCACUUAAUAUAGCAAAAUUUUACUAAAUUUUUGUAAAAUGGAUGAAUGAACAAAUGAAUAAAGAGCAGAUCAGGAUGAUUUGAUUUGAUCUUGAGAAAUGGAUAGGCUAUGAUGAACCAGAACCAAUGGAAAUGUAUAUUCUAUAUGCAAGGAUUUAUUUGAGCAGAGGCCACAGGAAGGAAUGAGACUGAUAGUAGGGGGAGCAUAUAAAAGCUAACGUAGUAGAACAAGCUUGAAUGGAGCAAAAGGUCAGAAAGUAUAAAGAACAUGUGUACAUUACUUACUUUCUAAUAAUUUUUUAUAAAAGAAAACAACUACAAAUUUACAUUAGUAUUGUAAUAAAUUAGUUAUCCUAGGGAAAUAGCUCUUGUAUUUAAUGACUUGACUCUCCAGAAUAAUGUAGCUAGUAAAAGAAUAAGACUAUCACCAACCUUAUUUCAGUCAUAUUUUACUUUAUCUCACGUUCUCUCCCAUCACUCCUUUAUCCUCUUUUUGCUCCUCUAAAUCUGGUCAAUCUGUGCCUCUCUGGGUUAUUGCCUGAUUUACCUUCAAAUUUCCCUUUGAUCUCUAAACUUAGCCAUAUAAUCUGAAAUUUUUGGACUACAGUCUUCCCUGAUCUAGAGAUCAUUUAUUCACUUCUGGCCAAGAGUUUACUGCACAAGUUUUAAUAUACAUACAUUAUUUGUACAGAAUGCUAGCUUAGAAGUAGGCAGGUGUUUCUACUUAAUUGGGAACCCUGAGCUGUUUGUUUCCUAUUUUCUGACUUCUGCCAUUACAACGGAGUCCUACAUUUCAACUACAUGUUGUUGGUGAUAGCCUAGAAGCUAGACAUGAUUUUUCAAAGCAAUAAUACCAAGAAAAGAAUAGCUCUUUAAAAAGUAUAGGCAGUAUUGCAGAGUUAUGAACAUCAUGAUUAUCAGUGGCUUCAUCUCUGGCUUAUAUAACUAUUCAUUAUGUAGUCAUCAGUACUUAUUUACAUUUCCAAUAUUUCCACUUUGGAACGUCAAAGAUUCUCCUUGUUUUCCUCUUGGUAAGGAAAACUGUAAUGUUAAUUAAAAAGACAAAAUUUGGAGUCAGAAAUGCUUGGUUCUUUUCCUUCACUUAUUUUAGGAACUCAAGAAAGUCAUUUAAACCAUCUUUAUUUAUAAUUUCUCAUCUAUAAACCUACUAAAAAUGUUCCUCUACUCCAUAGGUAAUUGCAGUACCAAAUAAGAGAAAGAUUUGAAUGUACAAAAAUUUUUAUAAAUCUGACUUGUGUUUCUUUUAAACUUUGAUAAUUGCUAACUUGCACUCUAUUCUCAUCAGGCUUCUCUAGGUAUUUUAUAGAUUUUCUUUUUUAUUCUUUUGAGAUGCAACAACUAAAUUUCAAUUCCCAGAAUAUAACCUGACACAAGGCAUUCAAUUAAUAUUAUUUGAUAAAUGAACUAAAUAUUCUAUGAUUUAAUUCAAGAUUAAUGUUUCUGUGUGCUUAUUUUCUAUUCCCUUCUUGAUUCAUCAAUAUAUGCAAGAGCUAUAUCAAAAUAUGGCCUUUAAAAAUGUCUGUACCUUUUAUGAGACUAAGAAAUCAAUUUAUUUUUCUAUAAGCAUAGCUUUUAUUAUUUUUUCUAAGUGAAUUACCUUUCAAUUGCUCACAUUGAAUAUCAUCUACCACUUUUCUGCCCACUCACACAAGCUGGCACGUUCUCCCUGUAGUUUAUCUCCAUCUGCUUGGCAUUUUACUACCUGGAAGAGCUUAGUGUCAUCUGAAAACUUGGAUAAUUCACCAUGCAUUCCCCCUUCCAAAUCAUUUAUGAAAAUGUUAAAUAAGAUAGAUUCUCGGGCCAAUCCCUAAGAAACCAAACUGUUUUUAUUUCUUCAUUCAGAGGCAUUUUCUCAUUUAUCUCUAGAUUUUGUAUUUCCCCCCUGUUAAAAUAAUCUUUGUGUAAUCACUAUACAUUGAUAUAUGCAUAUGUUUCUUUUGGGCAUUGAAGCUAUUUGAUAUUUGGGAACAUAAAAUUAUCCAAAAGUGUGUUUCUUCCAUAAAAGUCAUAGGUACCUUAGGGGCAAGCAGAUGAGUAGCAAUAAGAAAUCUGAACACACAGAACUCUGGGCCCUUCAAACUCAAUUUAUAAGACAAAAAGCAUCUCUGUUUUAAUCUUUUAUAUUUCAAGACAUCAAUUUGUUGGGGAAAUCUAUAAAAAUAUAGCUCUAAAACCAUUAAUUUAGAGAAAAAGCUCUUUGGAUCAGGCAUCCAAUUUUUGUGCUUUGCUCUCUACUUGUCUAUGAACAACCAGUGAAUGCACACACAUGUGACCUCACCUAGCUAAGACUCUGAUUCCUAAAUGGCAAGGCAGAGGAUAUGGCCUCUGUGUUGUCUCUCCUUACAGAUUGUGAGAAUGAAGUGAUAUAAUGUAAGUAAAAGUGUAUUGUAGCAUUUAGUAAGAAAUAAGAUCUUAUAGGUGGAGACCUUGGAAAGAGCAAGGAACCAACACUAUCAAAGGAAGCACAGUUUAUAUUAAAAGGGGCUAAGCUGGAAGGUGAACUUGAACUGUCAGAGAAAGCUGAGAGUUACCAUAGGGAGGACAUGCAUCUAUGAGAUCAAACAGGAGAGAUCAUGGUUGGAAGAGUACGAAAGAGAUGAAGGCAGACUGUUUUCAGAGUGUGAAGAUGGGAUUUAAUAAUUCUAUGCAAGCAAUCUCGGAAUAGAUGCCUGUCGUGAAGUUGGAAAGAAGGGUGUAGAAGAAACUACAGUCUUAUAAAUUAGGGUAUGGUAGGGAUUGCUCAAACAGGGAUUUAUUUAUUAAUUUUUUUUAUUGUACCAGGGAUUGAACUCAGGACCUUGCACUUGUGAAGCAGGCAGCAGAACCACUGAGCUAAAUCCCCAGCCCUCAAACAUGGAUUUAUACUGGAGAUAGAAAAGACAAUAACAGGUGUGGUCCUAAUGUCUUCAACACUGGAGAAGAUCGAUAGAUGGCAGAGCUGAAGAGGGUAGAAAGAAACGUCAGAUGGAAAGAACCUCAAAAAGAGACCCCAAACAGAAGAAUGGAGAUAAAAGUUGGGAACCAGAGGUCAUCCAUGGCUCAUGGUCCCCUAGAGAAGAGGAUACAGGAUAAGUUGUGUACUCAUAUCGAGUCAAGCAUUAAGAUGUAGGUAUAUGAAUACAAGGGGUAAACAAACUGUACAGUGGAUACUUGAAUUAAAAAGUUUAUUGCAGUAAAAAACUCACUGUCAUUAAUCCACCUCAGAAUAUUCUCUAACCAUCAAACACUCUCCAUCUUUCUUGCCACUUUCUCUACUGUUCCGGAAGUCCCUUUUCAAAUCUUUAGUUAUACUAUCAUGGCUGCCUUUGUCUUCUGAAUUGAGUAAAGCAUUUCCUUUUGUUGUUAUUUUGCUUUGGGAAAGAGCUAGAUGUCACAUGGUGCCAGGUCUCAUAAAUAAGUUGAAGAGGAUACCACUAGUAUCUCUAAGGGCCUGCUUUUCUACUGGGUGAUACUGUACUCAGCAGCAGCAUUCACCAUAUUUUCAUUCUACCUCUUAAAAUGCUCCUGAAGGAAAACUUCCAGAACUGCUUCAAAAAAUGUCAAGAACAAUAGAAUAAAUGUAAAGUGAGAGGGGAGUAAUUAAAGUGGUAUUAACAGCAAUAUCUUUAUACUAUAAUAUUUUUUAAAAGUCCAAACAUUCACCAUAUUUUUUGAGCACACCUCAUAGUUCUGCUAAAAGAUUGACAGUGAGAGAGACUUGGUUUACAAAAGUGCAAGGUUUCUAGAGGGCCUGAACAGAAAAUUUGCAUGCAGUUAGAAGGAAACAAUGCAGAAAGAUGUGAAAAAAGCAUAAGGACUGGUAGGAAAUGUAGGAUGAGAAAGACUGUGUAACCAAGCUUCAAGGUGUUGAAAGCAUGUGUUGAUAUGGCUAAAAAAUAUCCUUGCUUUUGCUGUAGAAGUUUUGAUUGAGAAAUAUAACAAGGGGCCAAGGAUCUACUGUCUAUGUCUGGGAAAAUGGAGCCAGUUACAUAAAGUUUAAAAUAGGUAUUAUGGACCUUAUUGUUCUAGAAGAAAACUAAGUUCAAAUUGUAUGCAAAAUCCAGAUGGAUCUUUGUUGUUUUCCCCUUUAUAGAAUACUUUCUGAUAUAGGUGAUCCCUACUGUCCAAUUCAACUCAACCAAAAUGUAUUGACUACCAUCCUGAAAUCAUCCAAAAUUUAUUGGCAUUCUCUAAUUACAAGCAUACCUAUAAUGAAUCUGAUUUUCAUAUUAGACCUGUUUUCUAAGAUUGUAAUGAAAUGCCUUGCUUUAAAUUUGAAAGACAAACUUGUGAGGAAAGAGAAAAUUCAUGCUCUUGUAUUAUGUCUGUCUUUCACGUUCUGGAAUGGUGCUAUGGUAGCUCUUGGAAAAUAUACAACCAUGUACCUAAUGAAAGCAGUUGUUUUUCAUGCCCAAAUUGAUGAAGAAACUGUCUUAGAGAGGAUAAAUGUGUUUCUCAAGGCCACAAUGCUGUUGUUUUAUUUUAUUGUGAAUGUAAGUCAUGCUUACUAUAAAAAUAAAGGCAAUAAAAAUAAAAAUGCACAAAAUGUUAAUAGACAACCACUUUGGGUAUUUGCAACUGUUCACUAUCAUAAAUGCAUAGACAUCUUUAACUAUAUUACUCUUAAUUUUGUUCCUAUGGAUAUUUUCAAAUAAACUUGUCAAACUAAAAUUGCUGAGUCAAAGAGUGUAUAGAUUUUAAACUAUUUCCUACCCAUUAAAGCUACCUUUCAUUUUAUUAGCCUUCCUUGUCCUCAGCCCCAAGUACCACCUAACAGAAUCAAAUAAAUGUUGUUGCUUGCAUUACUUUAUAAGAAAGACUUGAUACACUCUGAAAACACAUCCAGGACAUUUCAUUUCAUUGUAAUAUAAACUAUAAUUUAAUUUAAGCAUUACCUGUAUCUAGAGUUCUGUUUAAAGUGAAUAUUAAAGCAAAAAAGUCAACUUUCCUAUUGUGCUUAGAAAUAAACUCCACACAUCUUGAAACAGUGAAGGCCAAUUCAUCACAACCAAUCAAUAAACUUAAUAAAAGUGAGACAGAAAUGUGGAUUGAAGCUGAUAAGGCAAUAUAUGGUAUAUUGGAACAAGCACUAUUAGUAAUCUACACUUUAUCUAGUCCCCCUUCCAGCUAAUAAACUAUUUUUGUAAUGUGCAGGACAACUAUGUACCUGCAUAGGCAAGCUCUCCCUUCCUAGUUUUCUUGUGUAGACAGGAUGUAAUUUAAGCCACAGAAGUAAAACAGAUGUCUGUGUGGAGACUAGGAUGACUUGGGAUUUUCCUGAUGGAAAGGAUCAAAAGCACUUUCCUGCUAUCACCUGCACCUGUAUUUCCCUGCACUAGCACUUUCAUCCGCUUUGAAUGUGGAGAGGCCUGCGAUCCUUUUUGUGAACUUUAAGGCAAACGGCGUGAAAGAACAAUUGGCUAAAAAAAGUUUAUCUUCAGCAUAGGCAUCUGUAUGCAUGACUAACAUCUGUCACUCCUGUGCAUUCUAGCUUCUCUAUUGUGUUUGUACUUAAAACUAGAGACAUCUAUAAACAUAUGUAUGUUAUAUUAACAAUGAAAAUAUAGGGGAGGCUAUUUUUAAACUUGAAAACCAAUGGACUUAUUUGCAAAAGGUUUCAAUGAAGGAAAUAGAAUAUAAAAAGAUUUCUUGCAGUUUUUGGUAGGAAAGCAAUAUAAAUAAAAGAAAAUGAGUAAACUUUAGAAUCUAACAGACAUGGAUUAAUAUCCCACUUCUGCUUUUUCCUUAAUGCCAGGGUCAGAAGGCAAGUUUGGUUUCCUCUUCUAUAAUUUAAACACUAUUAAGAGGUUCUUAUAUAGGCUUGUUCUAGUGAUCAUGUGUGAGGAUCACAUAAUAAGUAGACAAUAUAUGUUGAUUCUUUUCUUAUUUCAUCCAAAAAUCAUAAUUUUUGUGGGAAACGUGGCUUGGGGCUACAUUUUGGAAAACAAUAAAAUCUUACAUUCUUCAUUCUGUUUUUAAGGAAAAGAGGAACAUAAGAUGUUAUAGGACUUCUUAAAAUCUAAACACGAUUUUUAGAUGUGAAAUAGAAGAACACUAAUUCAACUUAGAGUUGUUGCUUCAUAAACUGAAUAUUGGUGCUCAUCAUGAAGAACAAUGAGAUUCUUUAAGAUCUUGGCCUAGGGGAUUAAACUGGGUUGACUCUGUUGUACUCCACAGUGCAGGAAAAAUAAAUAAAUAAGUCAGCAGCAAAGGGUUAGCUUUCUGCUACCUAGAAUUCCAUGGUAAUUGAUGUUAAAUGUAGUUUAGGGACAAAGUGGAUUUUUUUUCGAAGCAGGGGUGGGGGCAAUGAUCAUUCAUAUAGCAAAAUGCCAAAACCUAGAAAUAUUUAAUCUUGACAGUUUAUCUGGUUUAUUUUAAAUGAAGGUAUGCAUUUUCUGGUUACUUUGCAAUAAGAAACAUGUUUUAGACUUCAUUUGUGUGUUUAUUAAUAUGGUUAGUUUUAACAUAAUUGUAAAGCGAUAAGCACAAACAAAUCUAGUAAAAUAUUUCUUAAAACAUGUUCUAAGAAACAUCAGUUCCACAAGACAGUGUGGAAAAUUUUCCUGUGAUUAAAGGAGUUUGAGAAAUCACUGUAUAAUAUAUGGACCUCAUGAAGACUUCAAUAAUACAUUAAUAUAUCACAUGCUCUGAGAAGGCUCACAGCUAACAAAACUGCUUAACAUUUACCUUAUCCCAAAGCUUAGAAUUAUUCCAAAUAUCUUUGGCCAUAAAAUGCUCUUAUCCUAGUAAUACCUAUUAGCCUCCUACACAAAGAAUGUUGUUUAAAACACACUUCAAAAAUUGCUGAUCUCUAGUACAGAGUGUGGUGGCCAUAUAAUAUAAUUAUAGUGACACCUGUAAGAGCAGACUAAUGUGAGCUUUCCAUUCAGUGUGUCCGUGCAGCCAGAUGGAUAAUUAGCUGAGAUAGAUGACUUACAUGUAACCAGAUUAAAAGGACAGAGAGAGAGCGGGGGAGGGGGAGAGAGUAACAUUGGGAUUUUUGUGCAGCCUUAGAUUUCUACACUAUCGUUUUUACUCUGUUCCUUCAGGGAAAAGGUUACCAUACAUAUAUCAGUAUAUGAAACCUUUUCUCUGCAAGACAUUCUGUUGAUAAAAGAAUAGAAAGUAUGGCUUCGGUGUUUUACAGCCUGUUGUGGAAAAACAAGGUAGUGAAAAAUAAUUUCUUCAAACAACAUAUUUCUCCUGAAAUGUAACACCCUUUCAAAUGAAGAAAGGGCACAAAGAUGAAACCAUUAGUAUUAUGCAAAUGACUAGAUGUGCUGUCAAUUAUUCUUUGAAAUUUAUGUUUUCAUCUAGUGUUUUGCAAAGCAAAGCAUAGUUAAGAACAUGAUGUAUAUGAGGACUACUCAACUGUGAAUUACUAAGUGAAUCUGAUCAGGAAAAUCACCUGCGAUAUUUUUUGACAUAGUAUCUUUAGUUUAUUAUGUUAUUUUAUGUAAUAGUUAUACGGUAUGUGGAUUAUCUAUCAGAGGCUAAAAAAUAAAAGAGUGAGAAUGUCUCUUUUUAAACAAAAAGAUCACUAUCUCAUGGGAGUUUGUAAUCUAAUUAGAAAGACAAGAUAUGUGCCCAUAAAACAGGUAACAGCACAAGGGAGAAAUGAUUAAGUGCCAUGAUAAACCAUGAGUGCUAAAGGCAGCAGGUGCGCUAAGAGGAUUAAAAAAGACAAAAUCAACUUUCACUGUUUUCAUGGACAUAAAAGAGCCUAAAUUACAAAAUAAGCUUGAUUUAAAUGGAUUUAACUUGUCAUUUUGAUUUUGCAUGUUCAAACCUGUAUAAAACUUGGAUUCUCUCAUCGCCUUCCCAGCUUGCUCACCAGGUAGCCAGAGAGAAAACAGAAUGGGCAGUUCUGGGUCAGGUGACAGAGUAUAUGGAUAUCUAUUUGUUACAGAAUUUGUAUUUUCAUUGAGGCUGAAUAUUUUGAGGUUCUCAGAUUCAAGAAACUGUGAAAAUACCUCCUCUCAUUAUCUAAACUUUCAGUCUGAGGUUUAGCCAUCCCUGAACAAUCAUGGCCCAGCACUGAAAGUAAAGAUGUAUCUAUAAAAGCACAAAUUGUAACAAUAACACUUUGCAUUUCCGAAACAGCUUCUAUUGAAAUUGCUUGUUCUCAGCACUAUUUACAAGCAUUAAUUUAGUCUCACAAGGAAAGAUAAUUUAUAAGAAUAGGUUAACUGUCUGGUUUAAGAUAGCUCAGUUCUUCAUAUAAAGUGCAAGCAUUCUCACUCUUAGCCCACUGAGCUGGCAUGGGCAAAACCAUUGCAACUCAUUUGUUUUCAAAUAUCAACUGACAUAUUAUUGUAAUAAAUUAUAACUUGGAAUUAGUGUAAAUACAGAAAAAUAAUCCAGAUAAUCUUUUCCUAUAUGACAGUGUUUUUGCUAUCAUUUGCAAGUGUUUUCCCUGGCCUGGUAAAGUCUGGAUCCACUGAGAGGAGAAUCAUUCUAAAGAGAAGAGUACUACUCAAUUAUGAAAAUAUGCACAAGAAGAUGAGAAAAGACAUGAGGAAAGACUAAGCACUGUGACUUUCUUCCUGGUAUUCUGCCCUCCAGCUUCUCCAUGAAAGCAGUGACACAUCAGAAUAAAGCAGACUAGAAUAGGAACAAGUCCGGGUCAGAUAAACAAAAAUUAGGUGACAGCCAACGUCCACAUCAGAGUUCCUGCUGUAGGCUAAGGGAAUUAAAAAUAAGAAUGUGUUGAAGUAGACAAAAAGGUAUAGGCCUGUGAAGAGAAGGAACAAAGAGGGAAUCUGGUAAUUAUUCUCCACAUUGGACAACUUUAUUAUUCACUUUCUUGUUAAUUAAAUGACUAAUAAUUGAGCAUUAACUAUGGGCAAGAUACAACACUAGGUGUAGAGACAAAAGUCCUCAAAAUGGAAUGACCAAAAAAUUAAGGAUACAGUAAGGGUGGUAUAAAAUUACUCUCCCAACAAUGAAUAAAUUUGGAUUGCCUAUGAUAGGCACAUCCAGGAAUGUAACUUUAGAAGGCAUGAAGGGAAAUCUUAGAAUUUAGCCAGGGUGCUAGGGAGUAGUCACAAUAACUGAGCGAGCUCUUGGUUUUUGUGGGCACUGUCCAAGAAGAGUAGAUAUACUGCAAUAUUUAGGAUAGUCUCAACAGUAAAGAACUGUUCCAAUCCUUCAUGACUUUUCAAAAAUACCAGUCUUAGUUCAUGUGCAUGAGAGGCUGGAUUAUGAUUCCUGAAGGUUGCAACUUCUCUUUAUAUGCAUUAUAUAUAAAACAAAGAAUUACACACCAAAUUCUCUAAAUGCAUAUAUCAUAUUAAUUAAAGAGUAUUUUACAUGGUUUGUUGCGGAAGCUUAGUGAUAUGUGGUUACUCUUUUGGAAAAUCUUACCAUCAAUGACUACUCCAUAGCACUUGAGUCAUCAAAACAUGGUGUAUCUUUCUGCAUGUAGAGAGGUCAACACUAAGUGAUGUUAUGAGUACAUGCAUGUAUCUGCUUACUCUAUCACAUCUUGAGAAGUUAUGCCCAAAUAUUUCUAUAUUGAAAUAUAUAACAUCUUACUAUAAUCUUUUCCCAAUAUGUCUUUCUAUUGCGGUCGAUCAUUUUAUUGAUUCUUGAAAAAAUUAUGCUUAUAGAUAGGUCAUGUUAUAUAUUAAUUUCAACUCACAGUAAUGAAGCAUACUCUGUAUUAGUUUCUAUAAAUACUACCAUAUAUUAGUUGCUAUAAAUGGUAUUGUUUGUUAUUUGGUACAUAUGACUUUGUAUAUUAUUAUGAAAAAGGGGUUGAACCCAUUUGAGUAGUAUUUAUAUCUGCAGUGAAGAGGACAGUCAUUCUUCUCUUCACAAUGCUAAACCUGGUUAGCAAAAUAAAAGUAGGAAUUGGAAGAAUAUAAUGGCAACAAAACAUAAUAGAAGUAGUAUAAGGUAAGGUAUUCUCUGAACAAAGACAAAUACCCGCACAAUAUCUUGGAGUUAUCAAAUGAAGUUGAAAGAUGUCUACUCAAAGGGAAAAGACAAUAUAUCAAACUAAUAUCACAAGGGGUGACAAGAGAAGAGACUGGUUAAGCCAGGUUGAUCAGGAAAACACAAACAGUUUUUUUAUAUAAUUCCUUCACAUUACUAAGUUCAUUUUCCUUUAAAAGAGAUUCAGCUCUCUUCUCAGGAGCUAUUUAUUGGAUCCCAAAUUUCUCCUGAGGAGGAAGAAAUAUUAAGUGUCACUAGAGUAUACGUACCUUGGUUAAAUGCCUCAAGAUAGAUUAAAGUAUUUCAAUAUUUUCUUUAUGUGAAUGUCAUCUGAAUUGACAGAUUGGGAUUUUUACUCUGUAUUCCACGUUUAGCAUGGUCUUGCCUAAAUGUUAAAGGAAAUGGCUUCUGCCUAAGGGUCUGAAAAUAACAAAGCAAAGCAAUGCAUACCCAGGACUCCCCUUGGACCAUUGAAUCAAAGAAAAUAUUAAGUAGGACUGUUUCAUAACUACCAUUGUGGGGACAUUUCAGCAUUGAGAAAGAGAUCACAAGGGUAAUUCCUAUUCUCAUAAUGCAGUGCAGUAGAGAAGAUUUACAGGGACAGGGAGAAUAAGUCUCAUGAACUACUAAUAUGCAGGAGGUGUCUCCAAUCAAACACCAGAGCCUUCUUUACAAGGAGUGUUUACAUGAAAAGAAACCACCUAUUUCCUGAGUCCAGUUAUCUCUCCCUUUUACAAUCUCUCAUCCAAAUCCAGGACAGUCAUGGGGAAAGUGUGGUGAAUUGAAAAAGUAAGAAUCUCCUUCCUAACUGUGGCUUAACUCAGAAAACUGGGAGGAGAAUAAGCUCUCAGGAUUUCAUCUGAGAGCUUUUCCUUCUUCCUCUCGAUUUUCGUCAUAUAUUUUAUAGAAACAAAAGGAAAUGUAUCCUCAUCUGAUCCCGAGCUGGAAGGAAGAGUUAGAGCAAGAUUUGAUUAGGCCAUAUUUGAUGCAGGCCAGGUGGGAAGGGAGGAUUCUACAGUAUUUCCUAUCCCACUUUGCUUCUGUUUCCUAUAGCCUCCUUUCUUUACUCAAUGGGUACCCACUCUUUCCGCCUAAUACACCAAUUAAACAGAAUGAGAACCUUGACCCACUUCUUUGGAAAGGCUACAAUACUCUUCCUCACAAACUAAUUCUAUGAGAUGUGGAAUUAUCAUCACACCUUCUAAUUUGAGAGAAGCUUCAUGGGUAGCUUUGAAACAUGCCAAUUGUGAAUUGUAUAUGAUUUAAGCCUUGGAAAUUUUUAACCUGAUCAAAAUUAUGAGUAAUGAGUAUGCUUUUGAAAAAUUAUUUGAGGAUAAAAGAUAAUUAAAGUAUUUUUAAUUAUGUAGAACCUUCAUAAGACAUAUUUUCUUUAUUUAUAAAUUAUGUUGCUGUGUGGUUAAUAUUUGUGAAAUGGUCAGCAUACACUACAAAGUCCUAAUCUAUUAUGCUAAUUAUAGUCCUAAACUAUAACAUAGAAUCCAAUAAUAUCAACAAAAUAGCACACAGAUGCCGGCAGAUUAGAAGAAUAAUUAAAUUACAUGAAGCUUUAAGAAUUUCCUAAAUUGAAUGCAAAGACAGGUGUGUGAAUCCAUAAGUGACAGGUUAGAGUCACUUGCUUUUGCUUGGAAAGUCCCUAGCUCAAAAACUUUGAUAAUUCCCCUUCUUUUCUACUUUUAUCCUACAUUUAACAGAACCUUGAUAUUAUUUGUAAGUCUAGGUUGUAGAAUCUUGACACUAUUUGUGAGACUAAGUUUGUGAUGUUGCUUAGUUAGAAAUUCAAUGUUUUUACUCCACAUACUGUAUCUGCUGACAUAUAAAUUAGAGUCCAGAGUUUGGAGUUAAGUUGUAGAUUAUGCGCUCCAUUCCACUGAUGAUAAAUAAAGCUUUAGAGAUGGAGAGAAUUCAUUCUUCCUAUUGGUGGGAACUCCAACUCAUACUGGCCUUCUAAAACCAUCAAUAAAAGAGCAUUCUUUGAGAAGGUUAAAGAAGUUAGGUCCUGUAUCUGCUUUCCCUAUUAAUAUAUACUUCCCUACAUAAGAAUCUAAGUAAAAUCUUACUAACACCAUAAAAACAAGUCCAAAUGUUUUAUACCUGCUGUCCAAUUGACCUAGGAGUGUCUUGGACUCUCACAUUGUUAAUGUUCCUAUUUCUGGAGAGAGUGCUAAUGUUCACGAUAUGGGGAGGUGGAAUCAUCACUUCAAGGGAAGUUAAAAGAAAAGCCCACUCAGUUGACCAUUCCCUUGUAAUUUUCACAUUAGAAGUACUCCUGAUAAUGCUACCUCAGUGGAGUCAGCAUCCAUAUUUUCAAUUUAUAUUUAGCUAAUAACAUAAUCAUAGAUAUACACUCAAACAAACACCUGGUCAAUUCAAAUAUGUGAGGUAGAUCUCACACAUCCAACCCCCAGCUAGUCACCUAAUAGCAUUCUUUUAGAGGUUCUUUUAAUUCACAUUUUCCCACUUUAUUCUUCAUUUGAUGAUCCCAAGCACUUUCUGCAGUAGCUCCAGGCAGUUAUGUCUGAGUUGCCUGCAAUGCAGGCUUAUUCUUAACGCUAAAUAAAACUGAAAAGCAGCUGUUUAAAAUUCUCCAGAAUGUCAUGGAAACAUCUAUACAAUUCAUUUCCAAAAAAUGAAUGUUAUUACCUGUUUAUGUGUACAGCAAUCCACCAAAGUACCAGCUCCUCAGUCAAAUUAUCUUCUGAAUUUUAACACAAAGAACAAGUUUGUUUUAGACUGACAUAUUUUUACAAUCCUCAGAAUAAUUUGAUACUUAAGAGAGAUGUUAAUAAACAUUAAAGACUCCUCCCACAAGGAUUAACCUUGCAAAAUCUGGACAAUGAUGAGACACUUUAAAAACACUGCUAAGUACCUCAAAUUUGCAGAAAUCACUGUUGAGAUCAGAGUAAAAAGACUUGGGAAAUCACUCUGUGCUGGUAUGCUUCAACUGGAAAAUAUAGUACUUAUAUCUAUCCUUAAAAUGCCUUUUAUUCAAGAUUUAGUAUUUUCAAAAGGGAAACAGAGAAAGUUAGCAUCAGUAAAUUCCUGUGGUACUUUCUGAAACUAACAUGGAUGCUAUGGUAGAUAAUAUAUUUUAACAAGCAUUGCAAAAAAAGUCAGUAAUCCCUUCUUAUAUUGCAGAGAAUUCAAAAUUCAUUGUUUUAUUUUAAAUGGCACAAAUGAAAAAAAUAUCUAAAAGUCUUCUUUAUAUUAAAGCCAGAUUUAUCAAUUCCUAAAUAAUUACUAUAAAUUUCUACAAGGUGUCCAUUUCUAAGGAAAACAUAGCUUAAUGUUGUGGAAUUGAUCUAGUUCUCUCUAGGGACAAAUGUUAUUCAAUAUUUUCAGUGAUCACCCUGGGAAAUCAAGAAAGAACCUUGAAGAAGUUAUUAAAUACAUUCUGGUGUCCUAAGACACUAUCUCUGUUCAACAGAUGGCAAAUACAUUCAGAGGUCCUGGUUGUAGUCAUUGAGGAAUUGCUCUAUGCCAAUCAUUUUGUUAAGAUAUUCGGAAAAUUUCGGAAUUGAGCACAAUCUGCACAAUUUGUACUGACAGUUAGCCUAGAGGCGCUAGGGUCCAGAGGAACUCUAGCAAAGAGAGGCUUUGUGAGGAGCAGUAUAUUGAAAACAAUUAGGAACACAGAUUCAAUCUGACAGUUACCAUUAUAUUAGAAAGCCAAGUAAAGUAUGCAUACAUUCAAAGAAUGCAACCAGGCACAAUGGGUCAUUAAUUUAUAAAUAUGAGGUUUGGCAAUAGUACAAAAUUUACUUCCUAAUCAUGCUACUCUAUCUCUUUAGUAACUUGAUCACAUUCAAAUUCUUUAGUAACUUUAUCACAUUUCUCAGAGAAUUGAGAUCAAUAAUAAGUUCCCAGCAUAGAAAUUAUAAACAUAUCAAAAUUCAUUUAUGAUCUUCAGCUCAGGACAUGAACACAGGACAAAGGGAAACUUGCAAGUGUUUGCUCCUUAGUUUGUGUGUGGCAGUGGUGGUGGUGGUUGGGGUUUGGGUUAGUAAACAUUAGCAAGAAGAAUAUAGGAAACUGGGUAACAUGGCUCUUGAAAAGGUAGCACAAAUUCUUUUAGAAAUGGUAAUUUCUGAUGGACUUUCUGCUUAUUUGUUAAUUUGCAAAACCAUGAUGUUUGAAAUUAAAAAUGUAGCAAAAACAUGUUUUCCCCUACCUUAUAUCCCUGCAUCUAUAGAGCAACACCAGAGGAAAAUGCUGCAGGGAAGAGGAGAACAGUCUCUUGUUACGAAGCAACAUCUUAUAACUGAAGUAAUUUGGUUAAGCCCCACAUCUUAAGAAGAGGUUAUUGAAGGAGACAGACUUUGAAAACAACUCUUACAUGUGCACUGCCACCACCAAUAGUUCUUACUAGCUAUGUCUGGGAGAUUAAAGCAAACAGCAAGUGUUGAGAUCUGGAACUCCUUUGCAAGGCUUCCUUCCAGUCUCCAGCUCCAGCUUCUUGCAGCAGCCACGGAGUCAUCAUCAAUAAACACCUGGGAUCUUUAAAAAUGUGCUAGAAAAUCAUCAGUCAAAUGCAGUGUAGCUGAAGUGAGGUGACCAGUCCACAUUCUCUCCUAAGCAGAGGGAUGGGUUUUACAAUAAUGUAUUGACAUGAGUGGCACCAUGUCCUUCUUACCCCUCACUGAGACAGGAUUAGAACACAGUACAGCUAAGAUGCUGUCUUUAGACAUUGUGUGGGGCAUCACUGAGAAGUACAGCAAGGAACUUUUAUUUUAUAUAUUGCUCACUUUAGAAGGAAAAUGAAGUAGAAAAUUGAAAGAAUUUUCCUAAGUUUAUGCAAUGAAUAAAUUGGGGGUGAUCAGUGGUUCUGAAGUCCAUGCUUGAGUCACUUACAUUACCCUGUUAUCAUUAAACGUUUAGUUGAAUCCUUGCAAUUUGAUAUUUAAUUUUUCAUUUAUAGUAUAUUUUAAAUUUUUAAGUAAGUUGCAAUUAUUCAUCUAUAUAUAUGUUGAAUACUGUCCAUUCAUUUGUUCCUAUAUUUUCUCUCUUUCCAUGUACAUAUAUAUAUAUAUAUAUACACAUACACAUAUAUUAUGUAUGCAAAUAUGUACAGUUAUAUCACGUAAUUGGGUUAUGAGCCACCAAUGGGAUUACUAGUACACACUUUGGGUACAUCUCAGUGGUUCAUGGAGGUGUGACCUUGGAUGCUGUAUCUGCUCCCUUGUCACUUCUGCCCUGCCAUUGUUACCCUCCUUUGGUUCCCAACCACCAUACAUUGAGCAGCUUUUCUCUAAUGUGUGCUUCUACAUGCUCUUUCUUCCUUGAAGCCAGUCAACCAUGGACUAAAUCCUCUGAAACUGUAAGCCAACUAAAGUUCUCCUUUGAGAUGUGGGUGUCGGGUAUUGUGUCCUAGUGAUGUUCAGUAACUAACACAUACAUACACAUACAUAUGUAUUUAAUAUUUAAUAUUUUAUUAUUAUUCUAAGAAAUUUAAUAUUUUAUGAUAUAAAUAAAUGAAUUUUUAUUGUGGUUUUUACAAAAGUUUAAUACUUUAGAAAUCUUAACCAUGUCAUGAAAGCCAAUAUUUUUCCCAUGUUUAUUUUUUUAAUUUUUUUACUCUUAUUCAUUUGAAAUUUAUUUUCUUGAAAAUAGGGAAAACUUUUCUCAAUAAACCCCUCAACAAUUCCUGAAUGACUUAAUCGACUUCUCCAUUGAUUUGUAAUGCUACCUAUUUCCAAUAACUUAUUUCUAACCAUCAUAGAAUCUGUUUCUAGAUUCGCUGUUACUUCUUUCUCAUUGUCCUAUCUAUAUAUUUUUAUGUUGGCACCACAGUGCUACAUAUUCUUGCCAACACUAUGGCAACCACCACCAUUAUUACUUUCAUUAAAGUUAUUAUUUUGUAAAGGGAUGCAGAACAAUGAAUAGUUAAGAACAUGGACCCUCAAAUCAAGAAUAACUGAGUUUAAAUCCAUGCUGCAACAUUUAGAAUAUGAAGUUAUAUCAUCCUGUGUAAGUCACAGAAUGCUCAGCUUCCUCAAUUGCAAAUAAAGAUUAGUGACAUCAUCUAUUUCACGGAGUUUUUUAGAGGAGUGUCAUUUGACACAGUUUAAAAGAUUGUAUGUGAUGUGUUAAGUACUCUGUAUUUAGCAAUUAGUCUUUUAUUUAUUAUUCCCGAUCUAUUUAAUAAUAUUUACAAUUAUGGAAUAAAGUUUUAGAAGUUUUUAAAAUGUGGUUUCAAAAUAGAAGAUUUGUCAAUUAAGUUAUAAAACACUGAAAUAUUUAAAAUAUUCAGUGAACCAUUGUUCAUAACACGUGCCCACUUUUGACAACGGAGAUGUCUCCUAUAGGAUAUAAGUUUUUAGGUACAUAAUUAUCUUUAAAAUCUCUUGUAAUAUUCAGAAAUACAUUUUAUUUUUCCUGGUACUUUAUGCUUUGUUAGGGACAGGUACUUAUUUUUUAAAUUAUUGUGGUAAAAUACAUACACCAUAAAAUAUACCAUCUUAAUCAUUUCCAAUAUACAGUUUCAUAUUUAUCAAGCACAAAAACCAUCACCGUCUUUUUUCAUAAUUUUUUCUUCCUGUAAAACUGAAAGUACUUAUUUAAAACUAUUUUAUUAACAAAAUAUCUUAAAAUUUUUAGUUCUAAAUAACUUUUAUUUUCAUUGUCGAGUCUGUUUUCCAAGUAGAUAUUUAUCAUAUAUAUAUAUAUAUAUAUAUACAUGAAAUUGUUUCUUCUCUUUCUCUUUAGUAGCCUUAACCUUCAUAUGCAUGGUAUGUUGAUGUGAAUAUACAAAUUUUAUUCUUUAAUGAAGAAUAAUGUAUAAGAAAAUUCUCCAUAUUAAAUUAUACAUUCCUGGAAUAACUUUUUUUGUAAUAAUUUUCUUUGUGAUACCAACAUCCUAUUUAUAUAUUGAUGAUCCUGAUUUUGCCCCAUUUAAGACUUUUAUAUCUCUGUAUUAGUUAUUUUAUUUUACUAAUUUAUUUAUAUUAAAUGACAGAUACAAAUAUAUAUGUUUAUUAUGUACAAGAAGUUUUGAAGUGUAAAUGGUGUGAUAUCUGAGUUAAUUCACAUAUGCAAUUAUCUCAUUUACUUGUCAUUUUUUUGGUAGUAAGGACACAUAAAAUUUACUCUUUCAAUGAUUGUCAAGAAUAAAAUACAUUGUUAUUAACUAUAGUUACCAUACUAUAAAUCCUUUUUAAUUCAUUCCUCUUAUCUAACUCAAAUUUUUAUAUCCCUUGACUAACAUCUCACCAACAAUUCCCUCUCCUAUCCUGACUAUAAUCAUCACCAUUUUCUCAGUCUCUUUAAACUUCUUAGAUUUCACAUAUAAGUGAGAUGAUGCAUUAGUUUGCUACUUUUGUAUUGUGGUAAUGUAGCUUCAUAACAGUAGGUAGAGGGAUGUUUUUCUAUAAUCUAAUUUUCUGGAUUAAAAACAUAAUGGAAAUUGAAUUUACCUUAGCAUGUUAAAAUAAUCUGUCCAGUAAUCCAUGUUGAACAUGGGUCUUUUAAGAGAUAAUUCAUUGGCACUUUAUUUUUAAUAUUUACCCACUUAAACUUUAUAUGAAUUACUAUAAGUAAAAUCUCCUAAUAAACUCAUUAAAUUUACUAGGAUUUUUUAAUGUAUCAAAAUAGGUUUCACAAUGUAAACUUUGCCUAGUUUUAAAUCUUCCUAUCUCUAGUUGUAACCACUUUAUCAUUUAUAAUUUUGUAUAUUUUAUUUUCUAUUUCUAUUGAAAGUGAUAGAUGUUCGCCUACUGUGCUGAUUUGAUCCAAAGAUUUUUCUGUACUACUUCUGUUUGCAGUUAAUUAAUUUCUGCUGCCAUUUUAUUACCUCUUUCCUUCUGUUAUUUUUACUGUAUAUUUAAAAUGUAUAAAAUAUUUUAAUGACAAAAUCUGAUUUAAUGCAUUUUUAUAAAAACAUUACCAAGUUGUUUAAUUUUAAUUGAAUUUGGUUCUCUAAAUGAAUAUAAAUUGUUCUAAUUCAAAAUAUGUUAAAUUCCAAUAUUACCACUGAAUAUGAAUUAUAAUUUCUAAUUCACUUAUAAUUUGAAAAAUUAAAGUCAUAUAGCAUUAAAACAUUUCACAAAUCGAUUUUAAAAGACAAUAUAGGCUAUAGCAGUGACUCUGGGGAAGGUGGCUUGCAUGUCAAGUCCGAGAGUGUUGGCUUUGUCUUUCUAGCCUUUUGAGGAUUUGUGUAAAAAGAAGGUGAGACAGAUGAGUGUGGGUUUGGGGGCAUCACACUAGCAGCUAAGCAGGGAAUGGAUGGGGAAACAAGGUCACACUGGUGUGACCAGUUGAGCUGCAGCUGGAAUAUCUUCCCCACUGAACACUAUCUUCCCUCAUGGGAUCAAACUCCAUUUGAUUGAAAAAGAGAGACAGCAAUUCAUUUGGUCAAUUAAGGGCCCAAUUUUGUAGGAUUCCUGGAGGGUUAUCUAUCAGAUUGCUUAGAAAGGUAAAAGAAAACCACUGUAACUAAUAGGUGUCAGUGCUUAGGUCCCAGAUGUUUAGUGUCUUCAAAGAUAAAAGGCUUGUUAACACUAAGGAUGGAGUUUACAGAUAACAUUGCAAUCCAUCCCCCCACAUGGUACUUUUAGUUUUAAUUCUCUCUUAAUUAAAAUAAUUAUAUUUAUUUUUUUAAAAGACCACUUAUAUAAACUGGCUAUUAACAGUUGAAAUUUUUUUCCUUGUCUGUGUGUUGUUUGGCAGGAGUUUCAGGAAAGGAAAACAAUAGAUAGGUUUCAAAUACACAACAAAAAUAUAUAACCAACUGAAUUGAUGAUAGUAUCUUUAUAAGCAUCUGCUUUAAUUAGUUUUUAAUUUACACACAUCCUCAUCCAAAAAGAUUUACAAUGCUUUAUAUGACAAUUAGUUUGGGUAACUAAAAAAUAAUCAAUAGUCAUUCAGUUUUCUAUUGCCGUUAUAAAUUUCUUCUGAGAACACAUCAAUGUACAAAGCAGAAAAAUCUGACACAAUAUCACCUUCUAUAAAUCUUAUUUGGGUAUCUUCCAAAUUUUUCCUUGCAAAGUGAGUUGUAAUUAACCAAAAUAGAAUAGUUGAGAUUCAUUUUAGGUAUCUUAAAGUUUAUUUUUAAAAACAGGAAUGUAGAAUUUCUUCAACAACUUAAUAUAUUCAUGUUUUAACCAAAAGAACAUUAGAUUUUAGUUCUCCAAAGACUAGUGACUUAUGUGUGUCAUACACUUUUAGAGACAGAUAUGUGAAAGAUGGACAAGAACAAAUCUUAACUCAAGAUUUCAUUAAUGGGCAUCUCAAUUUCUUCAAUAUUAUUUUACUAAAUUGGGUUUGACUGCAUAAAUCAAUUUAGGUGUUGCAUUGCUUAAUAACUAUCUACUAAAACAUUUAUAUCCUUUCAACAUAGACUAUAAGCUCUUUGAGAUUUUGCUAGUGAAGUGUCUUGGACAUAGUUGAUACUCCUAAGUGCUUGUUGACAAAUAAUUUCAGGCAUUUCAGAAUACACAAUUACUUGCAUUGUUUUACAGCAUUUUAGCACUAGAAAUAACUCUCAAAAACUGUACCCAACCUAGUCUCCUUUUCUGAAACAAAACUCCAUCAAAACUUGUCUCACACACAAAAAAGCCAAGCAACUAACAGGGCAGGACUUCACCUUCUAGGUGUGGCUGAGCUCACUCACUGCACUUUGCAGCACCUUUCUGACCAGUCCAAUUUGUUGGUACUCUGUCUGCACAGCAGUGGUCCCAGCCUGGAGUGGAUACUGCAAGACACAUGGCAGAGCCAGGCAGGGCACUGUGGAUGAUGACUGAUAGCAAGAUUCUGUGCAGCAGCUGGAUGAUGAGGUGGAGUGGGACCCACGCAAGCUGGGGGGAUGAAGUCAGCCUUCAAAGAUCCACUGAAGCCCAACUUCAAAUACAGUGGCAGAGCUGUGGAUUGCUGAGGGGGGAAAAGCACUGACAGACAGGCAAGUCGUGUUUACAAGGAUCUAGGAAAGGAAAGCCUUUGAAGGCAGAGGCUUGGGGAAACAUGGAAUCUAAGAAACAGAGCUGAAUAAACAUUGACAGUACUGUAAACAGCCAAAUACGUCUUUAUUUUGGAAAGCAAGUAAAGGUUGCCCAUCAGUUAGUCUCUUUAGCUGAAUUAACAGAACGUCUUGGUAGCUAUAGCCUUAAGGUAAAAGGAUGUUAAAAGGAAAGUACUACUAAGUGGAUGUUGUAUGAAAAUAUACAUAUAUUUAAUAAUUAUGAGUUCCUAAAUUCAUGUGAUGACCUGAACUUUUUCAAAUAACGUAUUUAAUCUUCUAAACAACCUUGUGAGCAAUAUUAGCCUUAUUUUACAUCUCAUAAUAUCCAGGUUUUCAUAUCCUGAUUUUACAACCGUAUUAAUUUCUUUUCACUUUUGAAGUAUUAUAUCUUGGCCCAAAUAAUAUAUCAAAGCUAAUCUGAACUAAACAUUAUCCAAGUAAUGUGAAUAUCAAUACUGCCUUCUGUAAUAUAACAAAUAUUUUUAAAGGAUGCUUUUUUGCACAGUAUCAUCUGCAACUGCCUUCUUGCUAUGGGUGGAAAAUUUUGAACAAUUCCUUAGCUCUUUUGAGACAAGGAUAUUUGCUGGGCUGAAUGUUGCCUGGAAGACUGACCAUAUUUACUCAAAAGAUAUAGCUAUAUUUUUCUGUGUCACACACAAUGUCAAAUAUUCUGUUACAGAAGCUGGCAUUAAAAGCUGAGCUCUUAUAUUAAAAAGUUGCCUCUACAGAGUUUUGUUCGAUAAAAGCUGCCUGCCUGAUCCCAGAGUUGCCGUGGCACCGUGCUCCAUAGUAGUAGCAGCAGCAAAACCAUCACUGUCAUCAAUGUCAUCAUCAUUCCCUCACACACAUCACUACAAAUAUCUCGACAUCUAAUGGACUUCCCUUAAAUCAGAUUCACCUCCAGAGAAGGUGUUGGUCAAUCAAGUAAACAAACACCAUGCAGAGAAAUGAAUAAAAAUCCAGAAAUGCUGACAGCCUCUUGGAACCCUAGUGAGUAGAUACUGAUUACACAUAUGGGGUUUUGGGGAAAGAGGGACAGGCAAACCUUAUUUACAAAAUUAUACCCACAUGUAUACUGUUUUUUUCUUACCCUGAAGGGAAUGUAGUGUAAUGUUCAGAGAUGCUGACUCUGGAGCCAGGAUACCUAAGUUUGAAACCCAGCUCUGUUAUUUUUUAGCUGUGUGACAUUUAAGCUUUUCUAUACUUCACUUUCCUCACUGGUAAAAUGCUAAUAAGAGGAAUAAGUGAGCUGAUAUGUUUAAACCACUAUUUAUUAGUAGUAUGAGUAUUGCUUUAAAAUAACUAUACCCUCGACUUGCAGAACCCUUCACUGGAUCUCAGCCUUAGGACUUUCAGUCACGGUAUACUGUGAAGUAUCUGUCCAUAGAGUAUAAUUCCAUUCUAAGAAAACUGGUGUUGUUUUAUUAGACUGCUGUACUGGUUAUGAGGGGCCAACAUUAGAACAUUCCUAACCCCUUUUUAAUAUGGUGAAUGAAAAGUAAAUUUCUAAAUAGAAAUCAAAGCUGACAGAAAAAUUAAAUGGGACUACCUUCUUUCAUCUACAAAAGACAAAUCCCAAACUCUCAUUUUGUAUCAGAUAUCAUUUUUGCUACAUUGCUAUAUUCUGGAAUAUAGCUGGGAACUCAGUAAUGAGACUUCUGGGUGGGGGUGCUAUUUGCAUGAUUAACUAAAAAGCUGUACACUGGGAGAGAUUUAUCACUGAAGAAGAAAGCUUCAGGUUGAAAAACCUAAAUACAAGGAUGAGGAUUUUGUGGCGGUUGGCGUGGUUGGAGAAAACUGACUUUGACCAUGAAUAAAAUGCUCUUCAACUCACUGAUACUUGUGUCUUUUGAUUGCUUGGACAUUAUUAGCAAUUUGGGAGGGGAUAGUUUAAUGAGUAGUGAAAUCUUUUAAACAACUGAGCACAGGAUACUGAAAGGUCAAGAUAGCAGUUGACCUAAUCACAAAAUAUGACUUAAAUGGGAGAAGGUAUUUUUCCUAUGGUGAUCAAUUAAUGGUACACAUAUGAGUCCAACAUUAGUCAGAAGGAACAACUGAAGAGCUCUAAACAGUGGUCACUUGGGGAAGCAUGUGAUGGCAGGAAGAAUAUAUAGGAGCAAGUCCAUAGAUGAUGCCAUAUGAAUUCUUGCAUCUGCUACCCUCACAAGCACAUCACUGAACUCUUUUUUGUGGAGGCCACACUUAAGAGUACAGUUUUCCUUCAGCCAUAAUGAUCAAUCUGGAAUAUUGUAUAAGAUGGAAAUUUGUAGCUGUAUCUACUUUGAGGAACUCUUCUUCUAUAGGGAAGGAUUUGAGGGAUAUUAAAGACAUCUUAAAUCUGAAGACAGUAACAUAGAUGUUUAUUAAUAUUAUGACUACCCCCUGAAAAAGCCAAGAAUGAUAGAUUUCAUUACAACAGACCUACUAUCCCCCUCUCAGUCCUUCUGUGGACAACCGUACAUACUGCAGGAUGCUAGACUCAAAUGAGUGUAGAAAUAUCACUGGCAAUGGGACAUUUUACUGUAAAAACUUGUAUUAUUUUCUUAUAAGUGAGAUGCCAUUGUUUAGGAAUGCACUUUAUGUGUACCUUACUCAAUUGGUAGGUUCUUUGAAAUUACUCUACUAGGGAUAUAUACUAAAAUUUCCUUACUUUCAAUACACAAUAUAGAAAAAAUAUAAGCAAAGCCUUAGUUAUAUUUGAAAUGCACUAAAAAUUAAAUAUUGCAAAAGAUUGAUUAUAAUCUCCAAUUUUUUUUACUGAACGUGAUGAAAUUAAAUCCAGGUUGCAUUAUGGAAUUUUUAAAUAACACAAGUGUCAGAGCCCAUAUUAUUUUUGUCUGUACUGGGAAUCAAGCUCAGGACCUUGCACUUGCUAGGCAGGCAUGGCAACACUGAGCUAAGCCCUCAGCCCUGAGAGCCCAUAUUGGAGUCUAGCUUUUCAGUUUUUCCCUAAACACCACACACUGACUUGUGGAUUAGCGAAGGGAUGGUAAGGGUCACCCUGCCCCAAUAUGGGAAUCUAAUAACUUUUGAGGACAGUUGAAGCUCUAUAGAAACUACUUUGAACAGGAGAAAUUCUAUCUAAAAUAAGACUAUUGACAAUGGGAGUAAUGUGAAUUGAACAUAUUCUAGAAUUGUCCUUGAGUGCUUGAAGAACCUAAUGGACAGAAGAUGAUAUAGCAUUUAAAAUAAGAAACAAGAUAAAAUAUACUAAUAUUUAAAAUGUGCACGUUAGUUUUAUGGGUUGCUUUUGUUUAGAAUUUUUAUACAUAAAAUAUGGCAACUGGAAGAUAAAAUAAAUAAUCCACCUUAUAUCAGAAAACUAAUUUUCAUUAAUACUAAAAACAAGAGUGUAUUAAUAAUCAAAAUCUUUUUAUUAUUUAAUGUGAACUAAAAGUAAAAAUAUAAAUACCAGAAUUUAAAAACAAAAAGUUGAACUGCUCCUUGUGAUAGUUGCAGAAUCAAUAAGAUUGGGGCCUGGGGUGGUUAGGAGUCUAUAUAAAGGACCUUCAGAAAUUAGCUGAUGCUAAGCCAUGUAUAACAAAGCUCAACCCCACAUCCUGGUAGUAGAGGGAAAUCCAAAGAAAUAAAUCAUAUUGUUACUUAAUUUUAGAAACAGAAACAAUAACAAUAUGACAUCAUUAGCAAAGAAAAACUAAAUCUAAAUAAUAUACUAGAAAUCUAAAAGCUCUUUAGAAAUACCCUUGAGUCCAUAUGGGUCCAGGUAAAAAAAAGUAAAGAUGAUGAUUUCUAAUUCAAUCAUUUUGCAUUUAUUAGCUGAGAUAUAUUGUAAGGAACAUUCCCUUGCUAUUUAUUAAAAACAUUUACAUCAGAAAAAAAGUAAAGGCAGAACUCAAGUAAAGUCCUUUACUGAUACCUGCUAAAGUAUAAGAAAUAUUCAAAGAAAGAGGGAAAGGAAGUAUAUAUAUAUAUAUAUAUAUAUAUAUAAUACAAAUAGACUUUUAAAAUAGCAAGGGUUACAAAAUGUGACUUUCGCACACAACCUCGAUGGAACUGUGAAAUGGCAUGCAUGGGAGUCAAGAGCCUAAUAAAUCUGCCCUCAAGAAGGAAAACACAUAUCCAGGGUAAAAAGGUGAAAGCCAGGAAUUCUUUUUGUCUUUCAUAUUUUAAAGGGACAGCCAGAUAUCCUAGAUAUAUCUGAUCUUUGAAAACAAAUUGACAAACCAAAUGUAGGCAAGUCAUCCGAGCUGUACGACAUCCAUCUAUAAAUUCUAAAAGUAACGCAAAGGUGAGACCUUGAGAUUGUAGAUCAAUGUAGAUAUGCUUUUAAACUGUCACAAUUCUAAAUAAUUUGUAAUUUGCCAGAGAGAUUUCCCCACAACCAGUCAAUGGAAAGGAGCCAGAUAAAACUUGCUUUCAUAAUGAAGUCAAAUCCUAGCCAAACCCAUUAGAAAAAGAUGCUCAGCCCCCUCCAGAGGCAGCACAGUGUAGAAAGUACAUUGGAUAGGGAGGGGAAGGGAGAAGAUCAUGACUUGCUAUUCCAUUGACUAGCAUUUUAUCACACGUAAAUUACUGAACCUUCUAAAACCUAUUUCCUCAUACUUAAAGGGGUAUAAUAAUCCCUUUAAAAAGACAAAAUAACUAUGACUGCCAAAGAACAACAACAACUACUAUGUUCAGAAUUCCCUCUACGUUGCCCAAUAUGGUGUUAGAUGUUUAACAUUCAAUCCUCAGUCUUCAGCUUGCUUUCUUCCUCACAGGUUAACACUGGUGUGCAAAGAGGUUAACUUCUAUGAAAUAGUUCCUGAAAAUGUAAAUUGUUGUGAGUGCACCAGUACUUGUGACAAGAUCAUGAAAUCGAUGAACAAGGGUAUAUCAAUGAACAAGAAACCCAGUGUUAAAUAUUGCCAGAAAUACUACAAGGUUUUUGUAAGAUGUAAUAACUCUGGAUUAUCUUGUUAGUCAAUUACCUAAGGUUGCAAAAACCCACCAUGGUCAUGAAGCAAGAAUAAAUUAAUUGUGGAUGGCAUCGUGUCAUAUUUUCCUAUUUUAAAAAUAAAAGCACUCACCAAAAAUUAUUUUCAAGAAUAGGGUAUUGAUGAAUAAAUUAUGAUAUGGAGCACUAUGCAACUAUUAAAAGGGAUGGUAUAGGUGAAUAUUUAAUAAUGGAGAAACCCAUUUCAUGAUAUGCUAUUAAAAGAAAGGAGUAAAUCACAAGGUCUGUAUGUAAGUCAUGUUUCUGGUUUUGUAGUUUAUGAAUUUAUAUAUAUAUAUAUAUAUGUAUAUAUGUAUGUAUGUGUGUGUGUGUAAGAGGGAUACUGUAAUGUUAUACAAUAAAAUACUGAACAUAUUUCUAUAGUUUUGAGAAUCUGAUUAAUUGUUCAGUUUCUUCCUUGUGAUCUUCUGUUUUUUUCUCAUUUUUCUACAAUGAACACAUUAAUUUGUAAUGAGAAUUUUUUAAAAGACAGAUGAUUCUUCAAAUCAUACUAGGGAAAAUUAUAUUUUCACUCACUCUAAGAAUAUAAAAAGCCAGCUUCAUUUCAGAAUGCAACGGGAAGUACUUCAAAGUUUCCUUAGUGUGCCAAGGUUUAUUUAACAAUAUUUUCUCACCAUAUAUUAUACAAGAACAGAACUAAACAGAUGGCCUACACUGGAAACCCAGCAAUCUAGGAAAAGCUAUCCUCACUCUACCUACUCAUCAUAUAACACGUACUGCAUGCCACACACACUCAUUUCUCCUAUCACCUUGUUAAUAACAUACACACAUAAACUGUACACAGUUCCCAUAUAUCAAGGUAAUCCUGUAGGCCAUACACACCUGUGUAUAUGCCUUCAAGAGAUGAGAUGGUGGAUUUACAUUCAUCAUCUGACACUGAUGACUUUUAAAAAUUACACGUUUGCCUCACAUAUUUGUAGAUUUUUAGAAAAUCUAUGUAACUUGGAAUUUGUAAUAGAAAGGCAAGGUUUGAAUUAGACUCUGUAUUAUGUAUGCAAAAUUUGCUUCAUAUUUGUCUUCCAGAAAGAGCAUUUUCUUUAUGUCAUUUCCUUUGUGAACUAAUCAAUGACCCUUUCUUUCUUUCAGGAUCAAGUACCAUUGGAUCAGCCUAACAUCCAUGGUUCAUCAUUUGUCUCCAGAAUUCUUUGUUAAUACUUCCCAACAUAAAAUCUUAACUCCAAUCAAGCCAGAGCCCACACUAUAACUCAAACAUAGAGUGAACAUUCUUUUCUCUGUUACUCUGUUCCUAUCAUUUUCCCCGAGGAAAAUAGCCUUCAUCUUUUUCUUUCUCCCUAUAAAUCUUCCUACACUUCAUUACCAGGCAUAAUUCUAUGUCCAUGAUUUGGCUCCAUAAUAAAAUAAAUUUAUUUCAGAUUAUUUUCCAAAUCAGUCUACUUUACAUGUUAUCAUAUUUCAUUUUUUGGUCUUUAAGAAAUGAUUUCUUGGGAAUAUUAGCUACUUAAAAAUAAAUGAAUGAAUUAAGCUAAAAUGAUAUGAUGAAUUAAGCUAAAAUUUCUGGUUAUAUAAAUUAUUUUAGAAAUACAGUAUGAUACAUAUCAAAAAGAGCUGAUGUUAUGAUUUUAGUGAUGCAAUUAUAAAUAAAUGGUGCUCCUGCCAAUUAUAAAAAAAAUUGGCUUUUUUUAAUCUGGCCAAAAAAUUAGGUCAGCAAGAUCUCUUUGAGAAGACCGUUUUUAGAAAUUAUUUUUUUCUGUAUGUACUUGAAUUUAAUAAAAGUGCAUCUCUUUAAAAAUAGUAUUUAACUCAGCUGCUUUACUAAUUAAGACUAGACUCUCCCCAGUCAGAAUAAAAUCAUAGACUCAUCUAAUUUUUUGAGCUCAAAGACACCAUAGAGAUUAUUUCCAGAAUCAGAGAGUAACUUGCCCAAGGCCACAUAGGUGGUUAGUCAAACAUGAGCUUUCUGUUUAAUUCUAUAAGCCAUGCCCAAUUACACUUUUUACUUAGGGCAGGCAGCAGGGAGUAAGGGAAGAACUAGAUGAGGAGACAGAAGCCUAGGCUUCAAAGUUAAGCCAUUUCACUUGCUUUAAACCCCUUUCCUAUGGUACAGAGUAGAAGAAAGAGAAAAGAACCUUACAAAGUUGUUGGUAAUAGGUAGAUAAUAGGUGGCAGAUAAUACCCAUAUGUGGCCAUUUUAGAUCAUAAACUGUGCAUCCCACCUAACCUGCAGUGGCUGGUUACAUCCCUACAGGCCAGGGGUCCUCCUUUAAUCAAGCCCUGAAGAUUGUGCUCCUAAACCUCUCUCUUCAAAAAAUUCAGUCUAUCUCUAGUGCUGCAACCUUAGUCCAAGCCAUCAUUAUUGCUGUCAUCUAAUAAAAGCCUCUUGACAACUCUCUCUGAAAUAACACUUCCUUUCCCACACUGUAGCCAGAAUUCACUUCCAAAAAUUCAUGGCUCAUGGUACUUUUCCUGCUUGAAAACUCAAUGCCUUCCCACAAUUUUUCCCCUUAAAUCCCAGAUCUUCACUGUGCUCUUCAAGGUCCCACAGCCUCUUCUUACUGCACUGCUUCAGGCUUCCCUCCCAUCUCUUCCACUUUGGUCUUUGUGCUCCUUCCAUUCCUUAAGUUGCUGGAAUACACUGUCUCCUUCAUGCCUCAAAACCUUCAAAGGACUCCUUCAUGUGGGUAAGGCUCUCGCUUUGCCCCUCCUUGCAUACCUACUCACCAUUCAAACUCCAAUUGCAAGUCAAUUCCAUAAGGAAAACCUUUUUUUUUUUUUUUUAAACUCUGGAAACUUAGCCAGUUCUCCCUAAAAUAUAUUCUUAUGGUACCCUAAACUCUUUUAUUAUAGUCCAUUACAAUGGUAAUUAAUAUAUUAUCUUUUAAUCAUCUGUCUUCUUGCUGUAUGGUUUAUGAGAGUGUUUGCUUAAGGCUUCAUAAAUAUUUAUGGAAGGAAAGAACGAAAAAGAAAGGGAAGGAUGGUGAUAUUCUUGUAUAUCUACCCACAUUCCUUUACAUUUCUAUUUUGUUUAUACCCAAAGUGCGUGCCAUAACUACCCAUUCUUAGUACUGCUCGCAUCAUACAAGCAAAAAUAACCUGAAACCCAGAAUGCCUGUUCUUCUUCCUCCUCAGCAAAAACCACAUUAUUGCCUAAUGGUAAAGAUAGGAAAUUAAAAUUUCAGUAACAAAACCAUAGUUGUUAGUAGGAGCAAUUUCAAGGCUGCAUUAUGCUAGCAUGGGUUUUGGUCAGGUCAGUGGGAUUAGUCUUAUCUAUGCUACAUAAAGCAGAAAUCACUAGGCAAUUUCCUCUAUCCUAGUGCAAAGGGUACUCAGUGGAAAGCUGGCCUGGUCAGGCACUACCUGGACCAGACUGACCCAGCCUGAAUGCCCUUAAGAAUUAAUUCAGAGACAGUUAAUAUGGGUUUACUCCUAACAACUUCCUGCUCACUGCUUAGGAGAUGAAAUCACAAAUCUUUUCCCCUGGGAAUAGGAUAUGCUUUUGGAGCUUCCACAUUAAAUGAGAGAGAUGUGGCAUAAGGGGAAAAAAAUCAACCCUCUCUCUCUCCACCCCUUAGAGUACACAGUUGCAUUAGGAAAGAGAUUUAUAUAAAUUCUUCUUACUUCCUCAUAAAAUACUUGACAUUCAUUCAAUUUAAAAGUUAAGUUGUAUUGCUGGUUUAAAUGACCUAAUCCUGCACUUGAAAUAAGGCUAUAAAACAUGGGACCAUAAAUGGUUCCUAAAGAGAACCCCUUAAUACCAUUGCUAUUUCAAUGGAAGACAAACAUUAAUUGUACACAUCAACAAUGCCAGCAUUUCUUUUUGUUUAACUAUUUUCUCUGACCUUUCUUCAUACCAAAACAAGAAAGGAAGACCACAGAAAAAGGGAAGGGAUGGAAGUUAUUUGAGCAGAUUUCCAGUCUGCUGACACCUCAGUAAGAUUAAUUAAUCUCAGAGACUCUCGUUCUCAUUUACUAAACAACAGUGAUUCACACAGAGUUACACAGCCACGGUAGCAAAGUUAAUUGGAAUCUAGAUCCACUAACAUUUCUUCCUUCCUUCAGCAAUUCCUCAGUCCUGCAAGUUAACAUAUUAAGUAAGAUUGUCAUGAGCUUACAAAAAAGGAAACAAAGGGUGGUUAGCAUGGAAUUAAAAAGUGGAUGUAUGUUUUCUUUCUAAUUUUUUGUUCUGGUUGUGUUUUCAUUUUAGCUCUUUGAGGAAGGCAAGAAGGAAGAGGCAGCUUAUGCAAUCCCAUGUCAAUGCUGGUAUCUCCCCUCAGCAUUAAAUUAGCACUGGGCGCUCAAUAUGGCUCUCACCCAAGUCUCGAGGAAGAAAGAGGGAGAGGGGAGGGAGAAGGAGAGGGAGAGGGAGAGGGAGAGAGGGAGAGAGAGAGCAGGGAAAAUGAGAUAGAUAUGAACACUGGUAAAUUCUGUUCAGUACUUGGUGAGAAGCCAAAUAAUUCCUUUUAACUCUUCUUCUCCAGCAGAAAAAAAUAAUACAUUUACUUAAAGCUUUAUAACCUUUAAAGCAUGCACCAUGACAUGAGACAACCACCAUUAGACCAAUCCAAUCAAUUAGAGAAGUGAAACUUUGGGUCAUUAUGUAUUUAUCAGGAAAUUAUUAAUGAAUUCAAUACCAGUAUGUAAGUUAUAAUAGGUACCCCUGCAUUCUUUCCACUUGACUAUCUUCCCUACUUAAUGUUCAGAGUAGCUUUCCUUAUGUUGGUAGCACAGAUACUUUUAAAUCUUGCAGAAUGGUAGAUAAUAUUGUACAUUCUUGGGGAGGGGUAGAGGGACAAUGGUAUAAACAGAAGGAUUAUGUGAAAAGAAUGUUUAUUUCCUGUUUUAAAUAUGCAAGGUAGGAUAGAGAGCUACACAGUGAAGAUAAUGUACUAAGUAGACAAAUACUGAUAAAAAAGAUCUUCACAGUAUAUUGUUAUAGGCUAGAAGACACAGAGGGUUCAGGAUCUGGCCAGAAUUUUAUAAAAUGAAUCAGUUUUCUGGGGUUGACAGUUAUCAGAUGAAAGAAGAAAAGAAAUCCUAGGGCAUACUGGUCAAUUGUUUACUUCCAGGCUGUAGCUUUCUACAUUAAUACUUAUUUUAAAAAUUCCUACAAAAGAUAUUCUAUCAUUUUUGCAACAAAAUGGUACUCUGAGCUGGGGUUUUCUAUUACAAUUAAUAAUAAUGAUCAAAAACUGUGACAAAGUCUUUUGAGACACCUAUAAAAUUUAGAAAGAAGGUAAUACUCAACAAAGGGAAAAGUCUAAAUUUUCUCGAAUGUUACUGUAUCAUUUCUAAGUAAGUGAUACCAACUGUUUCCUUGGGAUGCAAAUGUCAAAUAUAAAGGAACUAUGUUCCCUCCAUACCCUAAACAGAGGGUCUUUGGGGGAAUACAGUCAUUUAAUCAGUUCUCUGUUUCUAAUGGAUGCUGAUGAAUACUUCAUUGUCCCUACCACCAUUUCUAGCAGAAAACUAGACCUUACAGACAGUGCUUUAACUCUUUAUGUUACUUACAUGCACAAAAUUAGAAACCUUAAGUAAAUAUUUUCCUUUGGUAUUUGAUAUUGUGGUCAGUGUUAAACCAGCAUGUACUCUUGCUCUAAAAAAUAUUUCUUGAAGGGUCUUACUUUUAGCCAUUUUCAGAGGAGGCUAUCUAAAACCUUUGAAAGAGUUUCCCCAAAUCAUCUGCAAAUCAUUCACAUUGGAAUUGUUUGGGAAGAGAAGUAGGUAGCACUGUCGCAAGCCAAGUAAGGAAUAGCUCUUGAAAGAUGUCAUGUAAAGGAACCUUCAAAGUGCUUGGGAACAUGCUUGCACACUAGGUAUUUCUGCAAAGCCCUCACUGAGCAGUGAGGCUUGUGGCUUGGGGUGGGUGCGCUGCCUCUGACACCCUGCAAGUACACUCUUCUGACCACAGAGCAGUCCAAGUCUGGCUGCAGGCAGAAGCCAAGGUGACCUUCAUGCCCAGAUGAACCUGAGGCAGGGGUGGGCCAAGUCGAGUUCGUCUCUUCUGCUGUCCCCAAAGGGCACAGGUUCUGCCAUCCCAGAUGCCAAAGGGAGAAAAUAGUGCCAACCUCAGAGCAAAGCAGUGGCUGCUCUCUGGCUCUGGAGCAUGAGAAAGAAUGGACAGAUGCCAGAUGCAAGGAGAUCCAGACAGAUCUGAGCCAAUGGUACAGGGGUUUCCAAAUAAACCAGGCUCAAAUGCAGGGCCCUGAAUAGGGUGUUUUUGUUUGUUGUUUGUUUCCCUUUACUUUACAAAUAACCCCAGUCGAACUCUUUUCUCUUUGCUUGCUCAAGGUUACAGGUAAAUGUGAAGAUAACAGAACCAUCCUAUGUGUCUACAAAACUUUCUUUGGGGAACCUUAAACCUUCACCAACAGUAGUUUAUUAAUACUACAUUACAUUAUAGUACAGUUAUCAGGAAAAGACAAAACCUGGCUAAUCCACUAUGUACCUUUCUCACCAAGUCUUCAUUGCUUAAUGUUAGAAGUUAUUCCUAUCAUUAUCAGAAUGAUAUUGAGUAAUUAUGUGAUGACAUCACAUGGCUGAAUAUAAUCAACUACAUUAAACCAAUCUAGAGUAUUUGUAGAAAGAGUCCAAGAAAAAUUAUAGAUUUUUAUUCAUAUGUAAAUAUAUUUUGGAUGAUCUACUUCAAAAUAAUGAUCAUUAUCUCAUCACCAAGAAACAAAAUACAAUUUUUACUGAGAACUCACCAAUAUAUCUGACUUGCCCAUGGCCACAAAGUAGUGUGGUGCCUCAGUUCACAGACUCUUCUAUUUGCAAAUAAUUUGGUUCACAAACAGAAGCAUUUGGCAAAAUUUUGUUUUUGUUUUCAAAGUCUGCAUUGGGUGGCAAAAGAAACAUGACCAUCUUUCCCACAUGAACAUGAAUGUGGCCAUCUUCUCCAAAAUCAUGGAACAAAUUAAGUUCAUCGACCUAGGUACCACUGUAAUGACAAUCUUCAGUCUCUGCUCAUGGGGUCAGGCCAAAUUAUUCAGUAAACAUCCCUCACCUCAGCAUCAUAUCCCAACAUAUUGGCAUUAAACAUUUUUUAACAAAUAGAAUCCCAAUUAAAAAUGAACACAGAUAAGCAUUCAUCUAUGAAUCAAUGAAGUCAGUCACAAGAAACUGAAGUAACUAUGUUGCAGAUAGGAUGAUUGCAAAGGCACACAUUGGGACACUGAGAAGUGUGGGUAUAUGUGUGCUUGCAUGCAUUUAUUCUUGCUGGUGCAUGCACUGGAACAUCCAGAUAUACAAGAGGGAAGACAGCAUGUUUCCAGACAGCCAGUACCACACUUGCAACAAUGAUAGCAGGAGGAAAGAGUGUGUUUAGCUACUGUCAGUAGAGACUGCAUAUUUCUUAGCCACAUCUGGCUGCACUCCUUCUCCUCCUAUCCCAUUUCUCAAAGUUACUGCUACCUGGUCUCUUACCACACAUCAGCAGAUUCUAAAACAGGAGAGUGUCCCAUGAUUCACUGAUUUCUUUUUAGCAAACCUUGAAAACUCCCCUUUGGAAAUAACUAUUUCCUCACAGAAAAAAAAAAAAACUGUCUACUUUGCCAAAAUGAUGUCGGAUACCCCAUUUCAAAGAACUGCCACUACAGUUAACUUUGGUCUCACUCAAGGAGAUCAUCUGGCUUCACUUUUUCUAAUGGAAGACCCUCUGAAAUAUAAUUAUCUGGUGUGAUGCUCCAUUAGACCUUUCUCAUCCUUUAGAAGUGUCGUCUAACAUCAGCUCAGCACUGAUCUGCCCUUCAGCCUUGUGACCCCAUGGUUAUAUAAUGAAUAUUCCACAGUUUUACUUAAACUUAAGAGAAGCAGGUAUUAGUGACUUCAUCCUUAGCAUUUUAUCUGAAGAGCUAAGUUCCUACAGUUAAAUGGAAGAGGACGGAAAGGGAUUAACCUCUGGUGCUGGCAUAGUACAGUCAGGACGUUAAUGUCUCAGGAUGAAAAAGCUGAAUUGCAGCAAUAUCUGAAAUCACAGAGAAGGUCUUGAGAGCUUGGAAGGAAAAAAUUGUGAAGGAAUAAAGUGUAAAAAGCUGAAGCUGGAUUGGAAUCAUUUUUCAUGCAGAUAUGCUCAGUAGAAUUGUGACUUACAAGACCUCACGAUUUAGAUAGAGGAGAAAUGGGUCACCAAGUUCGAGAUGGGGAAGUUUUCAGAACCUGUAACUUGUAAUUGUACUAUAGGUGAGUUCCAGCUGCUCCUCUAUGUGCUUCAAAAUAUACCUUCAACAUAGUAUUUAUUUACUUCUGAUACUUCAAUCAGUAAACAGCCAGGAAUCUUCUCUUUCCAUUUGGCAAGAGGGUUCUAUAGCUACGCAAAUUAUCCUCCAGCAAUGAAAAAUGAAAUGCACAAAUGUAACAUUGGCAACCAGCUGUCAGAAGAAAAUCAAGAGGAGGAUUGUCACUCUGAUUUUUUCAUAGUGAGUGUUCAUGAGUGGACUGGGAUGUGUGUUUGUGAGUCCAAGUGUGCACAAGUAUGUGUAAAUGAAGAGGUUUGCAUGUUCAGUAGCAUGAGAAAUGUGAGCGGGUGCAGGUCCUAAUGAUGGCAGAAUGCCCAGACAUGAAGAUGUAGUAGAACCAUCAAUGGUCGUGCAAGCUUUCCAUUGCUAAUUGUGCAAAGCCUCCCUCACGGUCUAAAGAGAUAUGUAUUUCUAUACUGGAACGACAUCUUGUACUGUACGCAUAUUUAACAUAUAUGAGAGCUGUGCACAACAGUGUGGAAGUGAGAUGCAAACAGUAUGUAUUAUUCGUUUUCAUUUUUAACGUUCAUGAAUUCACUUCACCGUCUCACCAAAACAGAGACAUAAAACCCCUUCAAAGUAAAUACCCAGCACUAGCUAUUUAAUCCUCCAAACAUGAAGCGCAUUGACCAUUCUGAGCCAGCACAGCUAUUAACCCUUGAAUUCUCAAAUAUUCUCAUUCAUAGCCCCCCCCCCCCGACAACCCCCAUCCCUCCCACAACUAUCUCAGAGCAGAAGGGGGGGGCAUGUUUUGCCAGGCGAUGCAAGUACAGGUGCCAACUGGAUACCCGGUCUCCUCCUAAACUUAAUGCCAAUUCCCUCCUGAAAGAGCAAGAAUGCAGUGGUAUCAGCACCGGGGACGCAGGGACAGCGAAUGCCAGGGCAGCGGGCAGCGCUCGGAGUUUACAGAGGAACAAGCCCAGCUCGCCUCUCUUCCCACCAGCUCCCGCCGCUGCCAACACAUACACACACACACACACACACACACGCGCGCGCGCACACACCACUCUUCGGCCCCCAGCACACACCACACGGCGGCUCGGAUCUCCCCUGUAGCACCGCGAUUGCAGCAAGUCCGCCGCACGCUCGCACGCCCGGACCCAGGCUGGACGCAGAGUCCCGCUCUGGCAGGAGCGCAGCGCACCGCGGGACUUGUCCGUAACCGGCUCCGUCCCACCCCGCCAUCCGCGCCGCCGGCAAGAGGCCAGCGAGGUCAGGACCCUCCCCUACCUUGGAAGGAGAAGAGGGACAAGAAGAAGCCCAGCACCCAGACGCUGUGCAGCCAGUAGGUGCUCAUGUCUCCGCCGCGCCUGCUGCUCCCUCGCGCGCUCAAGCUCUCUAGUAAAACGCGCCGCUCGUUUCUUUCGUUUUCCCUCCGGGUCUCGCAGCUCCGGCAACCCGGACAGACGAUGCUCUUGCCGCACGACGGACGGAUCCAGGCACAGCCUCGCUGUCCUCUCCGAGAGCAGGGCGCGAGCCGGGGUCUGGGACGGACGGACGCUGGGAGCCUGCGUCUGGUGUCAACACAGCGCGCUCCCUUUUCCCUCAAGCUCUCCCUCUCCUCUUUCCUAUCCUCCUCUCCCUCACUCCCCUGCAGCUUCAACUAAAUGAGACUGUACUUAAACAAGCAGCGCCUUAUAGGACCGGGAACGGAGCCGAAAGGGCCCCGCUACUGCCAUCUAGUGCGCACAUCCUGCUAUCGCCGCCGCCCUGCGCUUGCUGUGUGUCCCGGCGAGGUCCAGCCACCGCAGCUGAAGCCCCUUUGCUUUCAGCAAACGCAGGAAUUACUCCUCAUUGAAAACAUCCUUGUUUCUUCCAGAAGAAUCAACCAGGUCCAUAGGUUCAUCCUUUUAGAAGUAUUUCACCAGUUCAGUUGGUCAUCAAUUUCAGUUGUUCAUCAGUGAGAAUGUGGCAAUGAAGAAAAUUUCAGAAGAUAGGAAUAUCUCUUCCUGCCUUUGAAUUACUUUACCCUAGAAGUUUACAGAUUAAAAAAAAAGGAAUGCUGAGUUUGAUGUGUCAAGAAGCUAAACAGAAGAGCUUCAAGUGAAAGAACUUCAGUGCUUGGAGGGACUCAGAAGAG
rnacentral:lncRNA from 1 species